CUGGCUAUUUCAGAGAAGAAAAUUACUCUUUACAUUAGCAAGAGUGAAACUUUUUUUUUUUUUUUGUCAGAUAAUCUGAAUGCUCUGACAACAAAUCUUCCUCCAAAUUGGAUGCAUGACCUACGAAAACUUGCAUUCAAUUCAUGGGUGGUACAUGGAACUUCUAGCUCCCGUUGACUCCAGUAAAGUCUUAGAAAGGUCAAGAAGGCCUGAGCCUUGCAGAGAAAUCUAACCAUGCCCAGAAUAAUAUUACUGGAUGAUGUGUGGGCAUUUAAUCAGACCCACAUGUAUGCAAAAUCAAACACACAUAUAUGCAGAGCGACUAAAGAACAGAGACUUAUCUGUCCGGAUUCUGGAGCAACAUGAAAAAAAAAGAUAGAUUUUUUUCUUCAAACCCAAAUCUGUUCCCUUAUACACUGUAGAUGUAUUACAAAUUACUUUUUUUUUUUUUUUCAAAGAAAGAGAUUAAAAAUG
rnacentral:lncRNA from 1 species